UCAAAAUAAUGAGCACGUGACGUGUUCGCGCGCGAUUUCUUUCAAGAAGAUUCCAUCAGGCUGAAAUAUGGCGUGUUCGCCUGUUUGAGCGGCGCAGGUGGACUUGAUAAGAUUCUGACUCUACGGUGACCUAAAUCUGUGUCCUGAAUGUUACAAGUGGUGAUUCACUGUGAAGAUGAACAUGGUGAAAUAGUGAGUGAGACCUUUAAAGCUUGCAGGACAGGAGAACAACGCUGUUAAGGGCUUGGUUGCUGUGAGGCUCAGAGGCCUGUUUGUGAUGUAGGAGGCAAAAAGGAUAAAUGACAGGACUGACUUCUGCUGUGCUCAAUGAUGAACUGGAUUCCCUCGCUGAAUGGGAUGCAGAGAGCUGCUCCGUUAGCUGUAUGAAAGACACUUGACAAGCAUGGUGGACUCUUCAAGAGCUAAAACAUAAUAAGGCAUCCUCCCCUGUGCACACCCCCUUGCCUGGUGUGAAGACCACCCAAGAGGGCUGUGAAGUCAGGUACACCGGCAUUGUCUGGGGUUCAUAAGUUCGCACUAUCCCUUCAGAGCUGGUUGACUGAACGUAUUCUUUAGACGAGUGUCAUGAAAGUAUAAUGACAGAGGCUUUUUUGAAGCAUCAUCAAGAGAAUUAGAAUAACGUGUUCCAUCUGGGCAUGUCUAGUACCUUUCUUGACUUUGAAGCCAGAAAGUGAGGUUCUGGGAUUGGCUAAAUUCCUGAUCGGUUAGUAGUUUUUGCGCCUUCAUUUUUAAAGAGUGUAGGCCUGUGCAGUUCUGUCUUGAUCCAGGAAAAAUUAGAAGUCAAAAUCAAAUCACAGUCAAAAAUAAGACACUUUUAAAAUAAGGGUUCUUAAGUGGUUCUUGGUUCAGAUGCAUGGUUCGAGGAGAUUGCUACAGAAUCUUUAGAUUUUGUUCACAUUUUUCCAAAGUUUAAAAAAAAGUUCUCUAUGCUCACUCACUCAGUCUCAUUUCCACAAUUGGUUCAUUAAAGAAAUGUCAAGGUUCUUUAGGGAAACAAAAGAGUUUCUUCUGCAGAAUCACACCAAAUAACCAUUUUUCAUCUUUUUUUUUGAAGUGUGUAGGCAUAUUUAAUUCUUUGUUUGAGCAAACGGCAGACUUUACUGAAAACUGACUUUAAAACUUUGGUUUCCUGUUCAUUUAAAGCCUAAUUCUUUAGGAUUUCAGUUGCAGUUUAUUAGAAACAUCAGUUGAUUAGCUUUGUUUUUAGCCUCGGCUUUGCAAUGUUUCAUUCUGUAAAUGUCACACUACCUCUGAACGCCUGACUUGCUUUUUAAAAAAUACACGUUUAUAUUUUUCAUUCUAAAUAGAGGAGUGUUUUUUUUUCGUUCCCCAAAGAACCUUUCCCUCAGUGAUUGUUGUGGCUGUAAAGAAUAAUUUUGCUAAAUGUGGGUGUUUGAGUGUAACAAAUCUUUUUAAAGUUCAAAAGUUAAAGCCAAUAGCCCUUUAGGAACCUUUAUUUUUAAGCGUGUGAAUACAGCUGCUUUGCUGUGCUGAGAGUUGGCACAUGUGUCUGGAUCCAGUCUGUUUGCGGAGCAUAUCCAAAAGGCUAUUAAAAACUUUUCCAUCAAA